rfam:Arabidopsis lyrata subsp. lyrata unplaced genomic scaffold ARALYscaffold_3, whole genome shotgun sequence.
UGUCCGAUGCCACGUCGGCGGUAGCUUUUUGGCUAUGAUCCUCGAUGCUACAUUGGACAUAGACAAAUGUACGUGUUUCGCUUACUGAUAGGAACCUGUUGAUAUUGAUUCUAUACUAUCUACGGAGCCAUUUCGGCGAUUACAUUG